GCGAACGCUGGCGGCAGGCUUAACACCUGCAAGUCGAGCGGGCACCUUCGGGUGUCAGCGGCAGACGGGUGAGUAACACGUGGGAACGUACCCUUCGGUUCGGAAUAACGCUGGGAAACUAGCGCUAAUACCGGAUACGCCCUUAUGGGGAAAGGUUUACUGCCGAAGGAUCGGCCCGCGUCUGAUUAGCUAGUUGGUGGGGUAACGGCCUACCAAGGCGACGAUCAGUAGCUGGUCUGAGAGGAUGAUCAGCCACACUGGGACUGAGACACGGCCCAGACUCCUACGGGAGGCAGCAGUGGGGAAUAUUGGACAAUGGGCGCAAGCCUGAUCCAGCCAUGCCGCGUGAGUGAUGAAGGCCUUAGGGUUGUAAAGCUCUUUUGUCCGGGACGAUAAUGACGGUACCGGAAGAAUAAGCCCCGGCUAACUUCGUG
rnacentral:rRNA from 1 species